AUGAAUGGCCGCGGUACUUUGACCGUGCUAAGGUAGCGCAAUCAAUUGGCUUUUAAUUGGGGCCAGGUAUGAAUGGAGUCACGGAGUUUCACUGUCUCUUAAUUAUUUUAUCUAAAUUACUAUGCAGGUGAAAAAGCCUGUAAAAAGAAAAAGGACGAGAAGACCCUUAGAGUUUUGCUAAAUCGGACUAAAAUUUAUCCGAGCAGUUUUGUUGGGGCAACAUAGGAGCAGAAUAAUAAAAAGGUAAAUAUUAAUUAAUUAAUCUCCUAAAAACUACAAAUCGAUUAUUAGAAUUGAAUAAACUACCUUAGGGAUAACAGCAUAAUUUUAUAAAUAAGUUUGUGACCUCGAUGUUGGACUAGGAAACCGAGGGGCUAGCCGCCUCUUGGGUAAGUUCUGUUCGAACUAUAUAUUCC
rnacentral:rRNA from 1 species